UGAGGAAUAUUGGUCAAUGGGCGAGAGCCUGAACCAGCCAUGCCGCGUGCAGGAAGACGGCCUUCUGGGUUGUAAACUGCUUUUAUACGGGAGCAAAGAGUCCCUGCGGGGAAAAUUGAGAGUAUCGUAUGAAUAAGCACCGGCUAACUCCGUGCCAGCAGCCGCGGUAAUACGUAGGGUGCGAGCGUUAAUCGGAAUUACUGGGCGUAAAGGGUGCGCAGGCGGCCCCGCAUGUCAGGCGUGAAAUCCCCGAGCUCAACUUGGGAAUGGCGCUUGAAACUACGGGGCUGGAGUGUGGCAGAGGGAGGUGGAAUUCCACGUGUAGCGGUGAAAUGCGUAGAUAUGUGGAGGAACACCGAUGGCGAAGGCAGCCUCCUGGGCCAACACUGACGCUCAUGCACGAAAGCGUGGGGAGCAAAUAGGAUUAGAUACCCUGGUAGUCCACGCCCUAAACGAUGACGACUAGUUGUUGGAGGAGUUAAAUCCUUUAGUAACGAAGCUAACGCGCGAAGUCGUCCGCCUGGGGAGUACGGUCGCAAGAUUA
rnacentral:rRNA from 1 species